rnacentral:rRNA from 1 species
AGCGAACGCUGGCGGCAGGCCUAACACAUGCAAGUCGAACGAACCUUUCGGGGUUAGUGGCGGACGGGUGAGUAACACGUGGGAACGUGCCUUUAGGUUCGGAAUAACUCAGGGAAACUUGUGCUAAUACCGAAUGUGCCCUUCGGGGGAAAGAUUAAUCGCCUUUAGAUCGGCCCGUGUCUGAUUAGCUAGUUGGUUGGGGUAAUGGCUCACCAAGGCGACGAUCAGUAGCUGGUCUGAGAGGAUGAUCAGCCACAUUGGGACUGAGACACGGCCUCAACUGCGACGGGAGGCAGCAGUGGGGAAUCUUGCGGAAUGGGCGAAAGCCUGACGAAGCCAUGCCGCGUGAAUGAUGAAGGUCUUAGGAUUGUAAAAUUCUUUCACCGGGGACGAUAAUGACGGUAACCGGAGAAGAAGCCCCGGCUAACUUCGUG